UUUGUGUGAAGAGAGAUAAAGCGUAACAAGGUCUCCGUAGGUGAACCUGCGGAGGGAUCAUUACACAAAUAUGAAGGCGGGCUGGAACCUCUCGGGGUUACAGCCUUGCUGAAUUAUUCACCCUUGUCUUUUGCGUACUUCUUGUUUCCUUGGUGGGUUCGCCCACCACUAGGACAAACAUAAACCUUUUGUAAUUGCAAUCAGCGUCAGUAACAAAUUAAUAAUUACAACUUUCAACAACGGAUCUCUUGGUUCUGGCAUCGAUGAAGAACGCAGCGAAAUGCGAUAAGUAGUGUGAAUUGCAGAAUUCAGUGAAUCAUCGAAUCUUUGAACGCACAUUGCGCCCUUUGGUAUUCCAAAGGGCAUGCCUGUUCGAGCGUCAUUUGUACCCUCAAGCUUUGCUUGGUGUUGGGCGUCUUGUCUCUAGCUUUGCUGGAGACUCGCCUUAAAGUAAUUGGCAGCCGGCCUACUGGUUUCGGAGCGCAGCACAAGUCGCACUCUCUAUCAGCAAAGGUCUAGCAUCCAUUAAGCCUUUUUUUCAACUUUGACCUCGGAUCAGGUAGGAUCCCGAUUUUG
rnacentral:rRNA from 1 species